UUUUUCUUUUUUUCUUUUGGAACAAAUUUUUCUUGAUUUGUUUUGAUUUAAAAUAUCAGCAAUUUUCCAAAAAAAAAAGGUGUUUGGAGUGAGAAGAGGAAUUCAACCAACAAGGGAGAGAAAGAAAGACAAAGAACAAAAUUAUGUGCUUUCAGAAGAAGAAGAAGAGAAGACCCGGGCCCACAUAUUGUCCCCUUUCUUUCCAAUUCUUUUCAUAUAAGGGGAUCUUCUCGAAUCA
rnacentral:ribozyme from 13 species